rnacentral:lncRNA from 1 species
UUUUAUAUCUACGAAAAUGUUGGGGUAAAACAUGGGUAGAUGUAAUAGGUGAUGUGUGAUAAAAUGAUGAGAGGCCUCGAUGUUGAUGUUGUUGUUUCUGUCAUCUAGCGGAGUAUGGAUGACGACCACGGACUCUUCUAGACAGUCCAGUGGAACACUAGCAGGCUCGCAACCUGUAGGUGUUUGUGAACGAUGUGUUCACCGGUGUACUCCAUCCCCCACAUGGUUGCCUUUAGGACAUUUAUUGCUGAGGAAUCCCCUUAGCAGUAGUGUCCGUCCCGAUGAUGAUCCUUAGGCUAGGUCCCUUAUGAUAGGUGUUUAGGGACGUAAAGUGAGGAUAACGGGAACGGGUAAUCGGGUUAUUGUUGAUCGAUGAAAUUAAUAAACUUAUUUAUUGUGGGUUGAAAACCCUAUGUGCUCACCAGGCUCCCAAGCCUGACCCACUCAGUUUUAUGUAUUACAGGUAGUGGCGCAUGAGCAUAGGUGUGAUGUUUUGGACGAGGGAUUACGGAUAUAGGCCUGUAGAUAUGAAAUAAUGUAGUAAGGCUUAUAUUGUACUGUUUAUGCUUUUGAUCUGUACGAACAUGACAUCCCGAGUCUUUUAAUGAAAUACAUUUCUAUGGAAAUGCUUUUGAUAAAUCUUUAUCAUAUUUUUGUUUUGGGACAAAUUCCGCAACACUUUCAUUUAAAAUGUAACUCUGAUUUUUAAACAAAGCAUAAACAAACCGGUCUUUUCUGGCCGUGAUUUUGGGGAUGUCACAGUUGGUAUCAGAGCAUUAGUUUAAGCGAACUAGGAAUUUGUAGGAUUUCUAGACUUAAACUUAGAAUGCUAAGCGAUGAUUGUGAGGUGUGAGCACUAGCUUAUUUUAGGAAUUGUGCCUAAAAUGCUUUUAUGUGCUAAAUGCUUUGUGCAUAAUAUGCUGUUAAUUGUUCGGAUCUAUGGUCUGUUGCCGACCGGAUCUGGAAACCUUAUGUGUUUAGGAUUCUAAACGUACGACUACGAUAUUAGAACUAGCAUGUAAACGUUUCGGAGUGAUAAGGACGAUUUAAAACGUCUAUCCUAAAUAAAGAUCUAAAUUCACCUUAUUCGGUGUAUAGAUCAAGAUGGCAAGGACCCGUAGCGGAAACGUGAACGCAAAUGGAGGUAGGAACCAACCCCCAGUGGUUCAGCAAAUACCUGUUGUUGAAGAAGUUGCACCUGAGCCAGUCACCAUGGCUGGAGUUCAAGCCAUGAUUCAGGCUAUGCUAGCUGAACAAAGGGAAGAAAUGAGACGGAUGCUCCACGAAAAUAGGGACGAACCUACCAUACAUGUUGAACCGACGGAGCCAGUUCCCGAGCCAUCUGAGGAAGGGAACUAUAGCCGCCAAGUGAGUCAAGUAGGGACUCAAGGUGAGCAAAAGGAUGGCCCAGAAGGGAGAAACAACAAGGAUGGGCGGAUGUACAAAAAUUUCUUGGGUGCGAAACCACCAAGUCUCUCAGGAAGCCCAAAGCCUGUUGAGAUUAUGGACUGGAUCUCCGAGAUGGAGAUGGUGUUUGAGAGCUGCGACUGCAGCGAGAAGCAGAAGACUGUCUUCGCUGUGAGACAAUUGAAAACUGGAGUCUUGAGCUGGUGGAAGCUAUUGGCAGAUACAAUGCCACGGGGAGAAGCUCUGAAAAUGUCAUGGGAUGAGUUCUUGGAACAACUGAAGGCGCAGUACUGUUCAGAGAUAGACCUGAUUGAUCUGAACAAUGAGUUCCAAAAUUUGAAGAAGGGGAGAAUGAGCAUCGAUGACUAUGCUGCUGCAUUUACGGAAAAGAUGAAGUUGUUUCCAUACCUAGUGCCAACCGAACUUUCCAAAAUUGAGAAAUUCGCAAACGGACUGCCGGCUGACUUUGGCCCAACAGUCAAGAUGGCAACCACUCUGAAAUCAGCUGUUCGAGCAGCUAAGAACGUGGAGACCCAACAAAAGGAAAGAGGUCUGGAGAGGGCUGAGGUUGGUGAGAAACGGAAGUUCAAUGGAUCCUCGAAGUCCAACAAGAAGAGUAGAUUCUCGAAGUCUGGUUCGAGGGGAGGAGGAUCAGAAGCGAAGUGGUGUGACAAGUGCAAGAAGAAGCACUCUGGGAAGUGUGACGGAGGGGUCACUUGUUACAAGUGCGGAAAGCCUGGGCACUACGCCAAUGAAUGCACCCUCAACCAGAAAGCCUGUUAUGGGUGCAAUGAAGAAGGGCACAUUUUGAAGGACUGCCCGAAGAAGAAGGAGACAGGAAGACCCAACAUACCACCGAAGCCGAAGGCGAGAGCCUUCCAGAUGACGCUCGAGGCUGCAAAGGAGGCAGCAGACGUCGCUUCAGGUACCUUUCUUGUAAAUGGUUUGCCUGCAAAUAUACUAUUUGAUUCCGGAGCCAACUACUCCUUUGUGUCGCAUAAAUUUGGUGGGAAAUUAGCAUUGCCUGUAGAAAAACUAGAUAAUGCCCUGAUUGUAGAAGUUGCCAGUGGCAAAUUCGUACCUGUUAGUAAUCGUAUUAGGAACAUCGUCAUUGACCUAAACGGAAACGAAUUCCACGAAGAGCUAUUACCCAUAGAGUUAAACGGUUUCGACAUCGUUUUGGGUAUGGAUUGGCUUAGCGCCAACGAUGCUGAGAUUCAAUGCCGAAAGAAGAUAGUAAAGGUAAACCCACCCGGAAAAGAAUCAUUUAUGGUGUAUGGGGACAAACGCAGAGUGAAUUCUGGAAUCAUCUCCCUGAUGAAAGCCAGGAAAUGUUUGUCCAAAGGAUGUGCAUCAUACUUGGCAUUCGUAAUCGAUGCCAAGAAGGAGAAGAAAGAGGUGCAGAAUAUACCGGUUGUGUGUGAUUAUCCGGAAGUCUUUCCCGAAGAUCUUCCCGGAUUACCACCUGAUAGGCAAGUGGAGUUUCGUAUAGACUUGUUACCAGGAACAACACCGAUAGCAAAGGCACCUUACCGAUUAGCACCGACGGAGAUGAAGGAGCUCAUGACGCAACUUCAGGAGCUGUUGGACAACGGUUUUAUUCGACCUAGUUCAUCACCCUGGGGAGCUCCGGUGUUAUUCGUGAAGAAGAAGGACGGAAGUAUGAGAAUGUGUAUAGACUACCGAGAGCUGAAUAAGGCAACGGUGAAGAACAAGUAUCCAUUGCCGAGGAUUGAUGACCUAUUCGAUCAGCUGCAAGGUUCGAGCUACUUCUCAAAGAUCGAUCUUAGGUCAGGAUAUCAUCAGCUAAAGGUGAGAAAGCAGGAUAUUGAGAAGACUGCAUUCAGAACGAGAUAUGGACACUACGAGUUCUUGGUUAUGUCAUUCGGGCUAACCAAUGCUCCCGCAGCAUUCAUGGAUUUGAUGAAUAGGGUUUGUAAACCAUUCCUCGAUAAAUCCGUGAUAGUGUUCAUCGACGACAUUCUCAUCUACUCGAAAAGCCAAGAGGAGCAUGGCAAGCAUCUACGGGAAGUAUUAGAAGUGUUGAAGAAGGAGAAGCUUUUUGCAAAGUUCUCCAAAUGCGACUUUUGGAUACGGGAAGUCCAAUUCUUGGGUCAUGUUGUUAACCAGGAGGGAAUAAUGGUUGACCCCGCAAAGAUCGAGGCUGUAAUGAAGUGGGAACGUCCAAAGAGUCCCACGGAGAUUCGAAGCUUUCUAGGAUUAGCCGGAUAUUAUCGACGAUUUAUCCAAGGCUUUUCUUCGAUAGCUGCUCCAUUAACAGCUUUGACUCAUAAAGGAGCUACGUAUACGUGGAGUGAGAAACACGAUGAGGCAUUCGAGAAGCUAAAGAAGAAGUUAUGUGAAGCACCGAUACUUUCUCUACCCGAUGGAGUCGAAGAUUUCGCGGUUUAUAGUGACGCUUCUGGAGUCGGGUUGGGUUGUGUUCUGACCCAAAGAGAAAAGGUGAUAGCAUACGCAUCUCGACAAUUGAAAGAGCACGAAAAGAACUACCCCACUCAUGAUCUGGAGUUGGCAGCGGUAGUUUUUGCCUUAAAGAUAUGGAGGCAUUACCUCUACGGCACGAAGUGCAAGCUCUUCACUGAUCAUAAGAGUCUCCAGUAUCUCUUUAAUCAGAAGGAGUUGAACAUGAGGCAACGACGCUGGCUAGAACUUCUCAAGGACUACGACUGUGAGAUACUUUACCACCCAGGUAAAGCAAAUAUUGUUGCUGAUGCUCUCAGUCGGAAAGUCAAUCUGGAAAGGAAAAGGCCAAGAGCGUUAAGAAUUGAAGUCGUCUCGACGAUUGUGGAAAGUAUCAGGAAAGCUCAAGAAGAAGCUUUAGAGAAAAAUGACCGAAAGGAAGAACGUUUGGGAAGAACGUUAGUGUUUGGUACAAACAGUCGAGGACUGAAGGUAUUCCAAGAUCGAAUUUGGGUACCUAAGACGGGAGGAAUAAGAGAUCUUCUGAUGGAAGAAGCACACAAGACCAUGUACUCGAUUCAUCCCGGUAGCACUAAAAUGUAUAGGGACCUAAAACCCUACUACUGGUGGCCGACGAUGAAGCUCGAUGUUGCGAAGUAUGUGGCCGAGUGCGUAACAUGUGCGAGGGUUAAGGCACAACAUCAGAAACCGUAUGGGAGUUUAGAACCUUUACCUGUACCCAUGGGUAAAUGGGAAGACAUCACCAUGGAUUUUGUGACUAAACUGCCCAGGACGAAGAACGGUCACGACAUGAUUUGGGUAGUCGUGGAUCGUUUCACCAAGAGUGCACACUUCAUAGCAGCCAACGAGAAGUGGUCUAUGGAUAAGCUCGCAAAUGCUUACGUGAAGGAAAUUGUAAGACUUCACGGUGUCCCUCUUACGAUUGUAUCAGAUCGUGAUAGUCGUUUCACGUCAAGGUUUUGGAGGAGUCUACAAGAGGAGUUAGGUACAAAGUUGUGUUUGAGUACUGCUUAUCAUCCGCAAACUGAUGGUCAGAGCGAAAGAACGAUUCAGACGCUGGAAGAUAUGCUGAGAGCAUGUACCCUCGAAUUCCAAGGGAAUUGGGACGAGCACUUACCUCUGGUAGAAUUUUCCUACAACAAUAGUUUUCACUCGAGCAUCAAGAUGGCUCCUUAUCAAGCCUUGUAUGGGCAGAAGUGUCGUACGCCGUCUUGUUGGCUUGAAGCCGGAGAGAAGCAGUUUAUGGGCCCCGAGAUAGUCCAUGAGACUGCUGAGAAGUUGAAGGUGAUUAGGGAAAGGAUGUUAGCAGCCCAGGAUCGUCAGAAGAGCUAUGCUGACAAGAAAAGACGACCGAUAACUUUCGAAGUUGGGGAUUCCGUUUUGCUUAAAGUCUCACCGUGGAAGGGACUUAUACGAUUUGGGAAACGAGGAAAGUUGAGUCCAAGGUUUAUUGGACCGUUCAAAGUUCUUCAGAAGAUAGGGAACCAAGCUUACAAGCUGGAAUUGCCCGAAGAACUCAAUGGUAUUCAUAACACCUUCCAUGUGUGUUAUUUGAGGAAAUUCACGGGAGAUGUUCCCGACAUAAUUCCAAUCUCAGAGUUAAGGAUGGAUGAAAAUAAAAGGUUGAUCGAAGAGCCUGAGGCAAUUGUUGACCGUAAGACUAAGAAGUUACGACGCAAGAUGGUCGACUUGGUGCUAGUCCGAUGGAAACAUUCGAAUGGGCCGAAUCUCACUUGGGAAACAGAGGAUGACAUGAUGAGUCGCUAUCCACAUCUGUUUGCUGAUGCAUGAUUCCGGGACGGAAUCAUCCUAAGGGGGAGAGAAUUGUAACGCCCGGGUUUCAGGGCUAAGCAUUUUUGUCAAUGUAAUAGUCUAGGUCAACUCUUGUAACUCUUUUUGAAGUAAUAAAGAUGAAAUAUUUGAGUAUUAUGUGAAUUAUGUGUAUUUAUGUGCUUAUAAUUUAAUUAUAAAUGUAUAAUUAAUAAAUAAUAAAAAUAAGCGUCAAAAUUAAAGUGUGAGAUAAGCCCGAUAUCUCUAUAUAAAGUUGUAGAAUAUGUCUCAAGGUUUCCGUGCAUAUGAGGAACGCCGAAAUCCGAGUUAUAACGAAGAAGUUAUGACCCGUUGAAGUUUUACGGCAAAACCAGCACAACACCGGGAAGCGUAAAUACUGAACUUACGAUAGAGCGAGAUUUAGCCUUAGUGAUCUAAACGAAAGUCGUAGAAUAUGUUAAACUAAGAACAUCGAUAAAAAGAACGCCCAAAUCUGACUUCGUAUGAAGAAGUUAUGAGAUUUUAAACAGACCAAUCCUGUCCCGGCUUGUUAAAAAUAUAACUUUAAAAAUAAAGUCAAAAUUAGCCGACGGAGUCUAAACGAAAGUUGUAGAGUACGUCUUCACCUACGCGUGGAUAUAAAGAACGUCAAAAACGGAGUUCGUAUGAACGAGUUACAAAUUAUAAUAGCAUAUUUACGUAUUAAAAUAAAGUAUAAAUCAUGUAUACGUACACAUAUAUAUACAUAUGUAUAUAUCAUUAGAAAGGUAUCGACGAUGCGGUCAUUAUAAGACUAAUGUUGAGUUCUUUCGACAUUAGUUUAGUACAAAUAUCAUUAAAUCCAUUUAUAAUAGUAUUAUAGAGGGGUGUUUAGUUGUUUAUAUAACUAAAAGGUCAUUAAGUAAUUAUGGAGGGUAGUUUUUGAAAAUUCAAUUAGUAUAAAUAAGAGCCUUGGGCUCUCAUAUUUCUUGCACCAUUCUCUUGAUUCAAGAGUCUUUCUCUCCUUAUCCCCCGAGCAUUUCGGUCCCUCGUGAUUCGACUUCUCUUUCUGUAGCUUAGUAUAGUAAGGUGAGCGCUGAAGCGCUGCACGAAUCUUUCUUAGAAAGAUUCAGCGACGAAGUUCUGCCCCUGCAGAGCCCGACUCCUAGCUAAAACCCCCUUGUAAGUAAGUUAUGCUUACCUUAUUUUAAUAUAGCUUAUAUUUAAAAUUAGUAUUGUUAUUAUGAACUUAUAAUAAAUAUUUGAGCUAUUAUUAUAACUUAUAUAAGUGUCGUUAUAAUAUUUUUUUUAACUACUCGCGGUACGGGGAAUCUGGUUUAAAGGGCCGCAUAGGGUUGUUGGAUUUCAGAAGUGCUAUAUGCCAAAAUGGUCCUGCCCUCCGGUGUUUUAUGUCUGGCCCCUGUCUGUACAUAGUGGUUGGAAAAUAUUGUUUAACGCUUAUAUAAUAAUAAUAAUACUAAGACUAAUAGUUGGUCACGGUAAAUAUUAGACUAAAAUUUAGCGAUAAUAAUGCUAGGUUUCGUCGAAGGAAAAUAGAAUCGUUAGAAGCAAGCGCUGCCCGAUUUUGGAAUCAUCACCUUAACAAGUGAGUGCAUAGUUACUUUCAACUUACACAUAGAUAUGAAGUAUUUUAUAUAAAUUACGUGCUAUGUGUGCAUAUUAUCUGAAUACUUGCUAUCUAUGCUAGAUGAACGUUGUUAUACAUGUUUUCAAUGAUUUAAACUGUAUAUGUAUUUUAUAUCUACGAAAAUGUUGGGGUAAAACAUGGGUAGAUGCAAUAGGUGAUGUGUGAUAAAAUGAUGAGAGGCCUCGAUGUUGAUGUUGUUGUUUCUGUCAUCUAGCGGAGUAUGGAUGACGACCACAGACUCUUCUAGACAGUCCAGUGGAACACUAGCAGGCUCGCAACCUGUAGGUGUUUGUGAACGAUGUGUUCACCGGUGUACUCCAUCCCCCACAUGGUUGCCUUUAGGACAUUUAUUGCUGAGGAAUCCCCUUAGCAGUAGUGUCCGUCCCGAUGAUGAUCCUUAGGCUAGGUCCCUUAUGAUAGGUGUUUAGGGACGUAAAGUGAGGAUAACGGGAACGGGUAAUCGGGUUAUUGUUG